UAAGCUCCUCUCUCUUAUGUGGGGGCUAUUUAUGUAUUCCAGUCACGGUAUUGUGCCUUUUUUUAUACUUUCGAUCCUUACAUUAAUAUCUUCCUCAGCACAGAAAUACGUGUAGUAUAAACCUUGGUAAUAAGUACCUACAAAUUGGUUUAAAAAAACACGUGAGCAAAACGUUUUCUAAUAAGUCUUAGUGUUUGUUCCCGUGUCUUCUUAAACCACACAGAUUUACCGAUGAAGAUCGUGGCGUGGAAAUGGAAAGGUUCACAGAUUUUCUUUCUUGAUUGUUUUCCAGAAGUGAGUUUUCUGAGCUGUGUUUAAUGAAGGGAGAAACUCGGAAAUAUUGUAAUGAAGACGAGGAAAUUGAGGAGGAUUGAACGGAAUAAUGUGUUAGCAUUAUUUGCCAGUUGUUAAUCAGUGGAGCAAUCUACCAGGUGAAAAUAAAUAGCAUUUAUUUCUCGAGUACAUUAAGCAACUUGUACAGACCAUAGCUAACAUCAGUGACAUAUAGAAAUUUCCUGGUUAUACCUGGAGAGGGUUUCGGGGGUCAACGCCCCCGCGGCCCGGUUUAAGAUCAGGCCUCGUGGUUGAUCAGGGUUUGAUCAACCAGACUGUUACUGCUGGCCGCACGUAAAGCGAUACAAGAACCCCAACCCGGCUGAUCAGGUACCGACUUUAGGUACUUGUGCCUAUGCAGAGAAUUUCUGGCAACUUCGGUUAAUUUUGUCCUCCCAGGAUGUGACCCUCAACAGUCGCCUAACACCUAGAUACCUACUUACUGCUAGGUGAACAAGGACAACAGGUGUCUUAAGGAAACCCACCUCAAUGUUCCCACCUGUACCGGGAAUCGAACCACCUUGGGAAACUUUACAAUGAGAGAGGUUGUGUGAGAAGGACCUGUCCAGCAUGGGUGGGAAGCACAGAAGGAUGAGGGUGUUGCAGUCCAGUGAAGCAUCUGAAGUGCGAUCUCUGCACACUAGUGGGAAGACAUCUAUUAACCGAAUAAUGGUGAAUUUUUACAUUAUUGGAUCGCCCUCUCUUGGUUUCUCUUCACAGAUUUGAAAUUAAGUAUAGUAUACAUUAGUGAAAGUGAAUAAUAAAGAGUCAGAGUACAGGAACUGGAAGACGUCACCUAGAAAAUGUCGGAAUAUUGUCAGCUUGUGACUUGCGAUGGUAUAGGACGCACCGAAAUUCAUUACAAAGUUCCUCUCCUUAGUGCGAGUUUCUGGGAAAGUUCCUCUCUUCAGUACGAGUUUCUGGGGAAGUUCCUCUCUUCAGUACGAGUUUCUGGGGAAGUUCCUCUCCUCAGUGCGAGUUUCUGGGGAAGUUCCUCUCUUCAGUACGAGUUUCUGGGGAAGUUCCUCUCCUCAGUGCGAGUUUAUGGGGAAGUUCCUCUCCUCAGUGCGAGUUUAUGGGGAAGUUCCUCUCUUCAGUACGAGUUUCUGGGGAAGUUCUUCUCCUCAGUACGAGUUUCUGGGGAAGUUCCUCUCCUCAGUGCGAGUUUCCGGUGAUUUAGUGAUAGUGAUUAUAAAAGAUAUUUCAAUAUCUCACAUAAUUUAUGCUCUCUCUUUCCUUCUACAGGUAAAGACUGGUCGAGGAGGAGCUCUCAGAGUGUCACACCUCCAAGACGAACACGCCGGUGUUGCGGGUAAGAGAUGCUGCAGGUGUACAGGAGGCAGUGAACAUGUAUAUCCACAUGUAUGUCAACACGUGUGUCAGAACACGUGUAAACACGUGUUCUAGGAAGACACAUGAACAGCUGUUUUCAGGUAAACUACUGCCCAGCCUCCCGCCUCGUGCAGUAGAUAGGGUUGAAACGGAAAGAAACUGAUGUUGAUGACUGCUCGAAACUCUG